rnacentral:ncRNA from 1 species
UCCGAUGCCCCUUCGGGGUGUAGGAUUAAUAGGGAAUCAGGUGAGAAUCCUGAACAGACCCGCUGCUGUAAGCCCUCAAAACAGGGAUGUCCAAUACCGCAAGUGCCACUGCCCCUCUGUGGGUGGGAAGGCGGACAAACCAGGGUAAGUCAGAAGACCUGCAAGACAAC